UACGUAUGGUGCAAGCGUUAUCCGGAUUUACUGGGUGUAAAGGGAGCGUAGACGGCCAGACAAGUCAGAAGUGAAAGCCCAGGGCUCAACUCUGGGACUGCUUUUGAAACUGCCGGGCUGGAGUGCAGGAGAGGUAAGCGGAAUUCCUAGUGUAGCGGUGAAAUGCGUAGAUAUUAGGAGGAACACCAGUGGCGAAGGCGGCUUACUGGACUGUAACUGACGUUGAGGCUCGAAAGCGUGGGGAGCAAACAGG
rnacentral:rRNA from 1 species